rnacentral:rRNA from 1 species
UACGUAGGUGGCAAGCGUUGUUCGGGAUUAUUGGGCGUAAAGGGCGCGUAGGCGGUUUGUUAAGUCAGCUGUGAAAGCCCGGGGCUCAACCCCGGAGGGUCAGCUGAUACUGGCAGACUAGAGUACAGAAGAGGUAACUGGAAUUCCCGGUGUAGCGGUGAAAUGCGCAGAUAUCAGGAGGAACACCGGUGGCGAAGGCGGGUCUCUGGGCCGAUACUGACGCUGAGGAGCGAAAGCGUGGGGAGCGAACAGG